GAUGAACGCUGGCGGCGUGCCUAAUACAUGCAAGUCGAGCGAGUGGAUUAAGAGCUUGCUCUUAUGAAGUUAGCGGCGGACGGGUGAGUAACACGUGGGUAACCUGCCCAUAAGACUGGGAUAACUCCGGGAAACCGGGGCUAAUACCGGAUAACAUUUUGAACCGCAUGGUUCGAAAUUGAAAGGCGGCUUCGGCUGUCACAUAUGGAUGGACCCGCGUCGCAUUAGCUAGUUGGUGAGGUAACGGCUCACCAAGGCAACGAUGCGUAGCCGACCUGAGAGGGUGAUAGGCCACACUGGGACUGAGACCCGGCCCAGACUCCUACGGGAGGCAGCAGUAGGGAAUCUUCCGCAAUGGACGAAAGUCUGACGGAGCAACGCCGCGUGAGUGAUGAAGGCUUUCGGGUCGUAAAACUCUGUUGUUAGGGAAGAACAAGUGCUAGUUGAAUAAGCUGGCACCUUGACGGUACCUAACCAGAAAGCCACGGCUAACUACGUGCCAGCAGCCGCCGUAA
rnacentral:rRNA from 1 species